CCUACGGGGGGCUGCAGUGGGGAAUCUUCCGCAAUGGGCGAAAGCCUGACGGAGCAACGCCGCGUGAGUGAGGAAGGCCUUCGGGUCGUAAAACUCUGUCUUCAGGGAAGAAAAAAAUGACGGUACCUGAGGAGGAAGCCCCGGCUAACUACGUGCCAGCAGCCGCGGUAAAACGUAGGGGGCGAGCGUUGUCCGGAAUUACUGGGCGUAAAGGGCGCGUAGGCGGUUAUUUAAGUCAGAGGUGAAAACUACCGGCUCAACCGGUAGCCUGCCUUUGAAACUGGAUGACUUGAGGGCAGGAGAGGGGAGUGGAAUUCCCAGUGUAGCGGUGAAAUGCGUAGAUAUUGGGAGGAACACCAGUGGCGAAGGCGGCUCUCUGGCCUGUUUCUGACGCUGAGGCGCGAAAGCGUGGGGAGCAAACGGGAUUAGAUACCCCAGUAGUC
rnacentral:rRNA from 1 species